UACAGAGGUCCCAAGCGUUACUGAGAAUCACUGGGUUUAAAGGGUGCGUAGGUGGUCCGUUAAGUUCCUUGUGAAAUCCCCGGGCUCAACCCGGGAACUGCUUGGAAUACUGGCGGACUUGAGGCUAGUAGAGGUCACUGGAACUGACGGUGGAGCGGUGAAAUGCGUAGAUAUCGUCAGGAACGCCGGUGGUGAAGACGGGUGACUGGGCUAGUUCUGACACUGAGGCACGAAAGCGUGGGGAGCGAACGGG
rnacentral:rRNA from 1 species